GGCCUCACGUGAUGUGGAAA
rnacentral:rRNA from 1 species